CAAUAGCGUAUAUUAAAGUUGUUGCAGUUAAAAAGCUCGUAGUUGGAUUUCUGGUAGGAGUGACCGUUCCGAACUUGAUUGUUCGUGUAUUGUGUUUUCUCCAGCCAUCCUUGUGGAGAACUUUUCUUGCAUUAAUUUGUAGGGAUUGGGACCCGCAUCGUUUACUGUGAAAAAAUUAGAGUGUUUAAAGCAGGCAAUCGCUUGAAUACAUUAGCAUGGAAUAAUAAGAUAGGACUUUGGUACUAUUUUGUUGGUUUGCAUACCAAAUUAAUGAUCAACAGGAACAGUUUGAGGAUAUUCGUAUGAACAUGUCAGAGGUGAAAUUCUUGGAUUUUGAUCAGACGAACUACUGCGAAAGCAUUUGCCAAGGAUGUUUUCAUUAA
rnacentral:rRNA from 1 species